rnacentral:sRNA from 1 species
CGACGCGGAUUACGGUGGCGGC